rnacentral:lncRNA from 1 species
AACAUAAGGGUAUAGCAGAAAAGCAACCUAUCAGUAAUGACAAAAAAUGAGUCGCUAUAUAAACUAGUCUACUUCGCCUUGACUUGUUAAAAGCCACAAAGUAUAAGGGCUUUUGUGGUGACUUUUGGUGUCACCGCUAAAUCUAUCCUAUUCGGUCACCCCUAAUUGUCCUAUUUUGUACAAAAAACUAAGUGAACAAAAAUAAACCCUGAAGUAACAAAUCUCCUCCUCAUAAACUCUCUAACUUGCUCCACCAUCUCAACCCCAAAUCACCUUGAACUUGCUCCUCACUGAAGAGGGCAACACAUUAUUGAUGGUGAACACGCUUCUGUUUGUCUCAUUAUCCGGCAAAUCGAGCGCUGACUUCCUUCAUUGUUUCUUCCUCUCUAUAUUUGUGCUCUCUACCUUGUUGAGGUGAAAAAUCUAAUCAUAUUUCUGUAAUCUGAUUCUUUACGGACUAUGCCCAUAUACAGGAUAAGCGAUUCCAUCUGAUAGUGAUUGGUGCAUUUUUGUGGCAUGAGAUUUAGGGUAAGCACGAUCUUUAGUAAUUUUUGGUUAUUUAUUAUUGAAAAAGUGCAAAAUUAAGGCUUUGUCAUGAUAUGAGAUCUUCUUUUUAAUAUAAUAUUUGAGCUCUCAAGCUUUAAAAUUAGUGGGUUUGAUAGUAUUUUGGAAAUUUUAGGGCUUUUAUGCUUGAAUAACUCGGUGCUCUAGAGUGUUAAAUUUUAGGUAAUUUUUGAAGUAUUUGGAAAUUUGGAAUGAUUCCAUGCUCAUUUCUCUUAGUUAUUGGUUGCUAAUAGCAUAAGUUUUAGGUCUCCGAGUGAGAAUUUCUGUUAAUUUGCUUCGUUACGUUUUCAACAAAUAUUUUAAGGUAGGAAAGCAAAAUAGACUUAAGGGUUGGUCCAUCUUGUGAUCUUUUAAAUGAAAAGAGAAUCUGGGAUUUCACAUGUAUUUGGUUAGUUGGUUUAUUAAGUAUUUGAGAUGUCCAUCUAAUCAGAUUGGUUGCUAAGUAACUAAUUGACCAACUUGGAACCAGUUACUCUUUGUCAUCACCAACUUCUGUUUAUUUAUUUAUUAAACAGAUUAUUCUUCCAAUCCUAAUAUUGCAAACAGGUUAUUGUUGGAGACAUUUUAUUUUUGGUGAACUGCAUCAAAAAAUCUGAUAGAAUAGUCCUCUCAUGUUUAAUAUUACAAUAGCCGCUUCUUAAAAACCACCUCAUGAACUUUAUUUAAGUUUUUAUUUUUUUUAAUCACAUUGUAGUUGGUUUCAUCAUCUAAGUGUUGUUCCUUAAGGAUGUAGAAUUUGGAAAACCUAGUUAUUGAAAGCUAUAUUGAUAUGAGAUUAAGUCGAAAGUAUUUUACACUUGGCAAGGUAAAUCGCUUUUUGCUAUCUUUAAACCACAUCCCUUUCCUCGCUAUUUCUUUAUUUUUUUCCCGUGGAGAAAAUUUUAUCUAAACUUAGUGAGCAAAUAUUUUCUAAAGAGAUUGAUAUUUCAGCUUAUCAAAAACGUAAGGUAUAAUAACUUUGGUAGGAUGCAUUGUGAUUAAUGAGUUAUGAUAUCGAGAUCUAAGUGUUUAGGUUGUUCUUAAAUAUUAGCCUUAAGCUCAUAUUAGAAUAGUGGCAGUUAACUGUUCUCGUUUUAUGAUAUAGAUAUUACAUGCAUGUCUAAGUAAUACAUUUAUAGUUGGUUCGUGAGUUACAAACUUGCGAGUUAUUCACAACUUUACAUUCAUUAGUCAUGUAUGAGAAUGGUUGCAGGUCAGUGUUUGUAUCAGCUGAGUUUCUCAUAAUUUUUUGGGAUUGAUGUUGGCGAACUCCAUGUGAGGCUACAUAUAGAAAAAAUCAAGGAAAAAUAAGCUCUUUUUGACUUUAUCCAUUUGGUGUGUGGGUAAUUUGUGAUUUGAAAUAAGGACAUACUUGGAAAGAAAGAAAAGAAAAGCUUAUUGGUAAUACACCUGGUAACUCUUUGCAUUAAUAGUGGUUGCUUGAAAUAUCUGGAAUUUAUAACAAGUUUUCAAAUAAAAAGCACUCUAAUUGAAACCACUUCACAGAACCUGCAUUUUAUUUCGUGCUAUUAGAUUAUCUAUAAGAUUUUAUCUUUUGCUGUUAUUUUAGUUGCAGUGGAACCCAUCUCUUUUUGUCUUGAUAGUGUGACGAAUACUAGUAUGGAUAAUAUAGUAACCACUGGUCCUGAUAGGGAAAAUAUAGUACAUGCUGGUGGGAGUGAUCAAUUGUUUUUUUGUAAUGCUGAAUCCCUACCAGCUAUUGCCCCUUGUAAUGUUACUUAACUUCUAAUACAACUCUCUUUUAUUGAUAAAAAAAGAGAAUAUUAAACUACCACACUGUUUGCAAUUGUUGUCAUAUGCCAGUAAUAAGUAAGCUGUUUGUUAGCUAAAUCUUUAAGUCUAUUGACCCUAUUGUGCGCAGAAUAAGGUAUAGAAUUGAUAUUUCACUAUGAAUACUUCAUCUCAUAGGAUAUAAUUUUUUUCUUGUAGGUCUUCUCAACACACUUCAUCUCUGGAAUUUAGUUUAUGAAUUUCUUGAAGUGCACAUCUUAUUCCAACCAAAGUAAUAUAAGAUUAAAGCACGAAUGCAGUGAAAGGGAGUAACUUUAGUCUUCAUUUUGAUCGUGACUUUUAAAAAUCAUAUUAAUAGGAUUACAUCAUUUCAUUUUUAUGGUAUCAAAACGUGUUGUCUAACAUAUCUUCAGAAAUUUCUUUUAUAGGUGGUAACAAAAUUUUCCAAAGUGUGCGCCAACAUAAUGGCAUGCCAUAUUAUGGAACAUCACAAAGGAGUUACACAUGGGGACACGCCAAUAUUAUUCCCUAAAGGUUUUGUUCAUGAAUUUUAUCGCACCUUUGACUUCAUUCUAGGAUACGAGAAAAAGUCGUGGUCUUCGGGAGGAAAUGAUUCUAGCCAAGGAGGAGUUCCAAGAUAUUUUAUUUUUAUGUUGUAACUUUUUUGUGUGUUUCAUGUGUAUACACAAUUACUACAUAUUAUGAAUUUGUUAAUAGUUCAUGUAUCAUUUUGUUUGAAAAUUGUCUUCAAUGGUGUCUCUUAUAAUGUUAACAGGUUGUUCUAAUAUACAUUUGUGCAGUAUUAGUAUGGAUUUGUUGCUA